rnacentral:rRNA from 1 species
GACGAACGCUGGCGGCGUGCUUAACACAUGCAAGUCGAACGGUGAAGCGCCUUCCUUUUUGGUGGGUGUGGAUGAGUGGCGAACGGGUGAGUAACACGUGAGUAACCUGCCCCCUUCUUCUGGAUAAUCGCAUGAAAGUGUGGCUAAUACGGGAUAUUCUGGGUCUGUCGCAUGAUGGGUCUGGGAAAGAUAUUGUUUCGGUGGGGGAUGGGCUCGCGGCCUAUCAGCUUGUUGGUGGGGUGAUGGCCUACCAAGGCGGUGACGGGUAGCCGGCCUGAGAGGGUGGACGGUCACACGGGGACUGAGACACGGCCCAGACUCCUACGGGAGGCAGCAGUGGGGAAUAUUGCACAAUGGGCGCAAGCCUGAUGCAGCGACGCCGCGUGAGGGAUGGAGGCCUUCGGGUUGUGAACCUCUUUCGCCAGUGAAGCAGGCCUGCCUCGUUUGUGGGUGGGUUGACGGUAGCUGGAUAAGAAGCGCCGGCUAACUACGUG